GAUGAACGCUGGCGGCGUGCCUAAUACAUGCAAGUCGAGCGAAUGGAUUAAGAGCUUGCUCUUAUGAAGUUAGCGGCGGACGGGUGAGUAACACGUGGGUAACCUGCCCAUAAGACUGGGAUAACUCCGGGAAACCGGGGCUAAUACCGGAUAACAUUUUGAACCGCAUGGUUCGAAAUUGAAUGGCGGCUUCGGCUGUCACUUAUGGAUGGACCCGCGUCGCAUUAGCUAGUUGGUGAGGUAACGGCUCACCAAGGCAACGAUGCGUAGCCGACCUGAGAGGGUGAUCGGCCACACUGGGACUGAGACACGGCCCAGACUCCUACGGGAGGCAGCAGUAGGGAAUCUUCCGCAAUGGACGAAAGUCUGACGGAGCAACGCCGCGUGAGUGAUGAAGGCUUUCGGGUCGUAAAACUCUGUUGUUAGGGAAGAACAAGUGCUAGUUGAAUAAGCUGGCACCUUGACGGUACCUAGCCAGAAAGCCACGGCUAACUACGUGCCAGCAGCCGCAGUAA
rnacentral:rRNA from 1 species